GACGAACGCUGGCGGCGUGCUUAACAUAUGCAAGUCGAACGGAAAGGCCCUGCUUUUGUGGGGUGCUCGAGUGGCGAACGGGUGAGUAACACGUGAGUAACCUGCCCUUGACUUUGGGAUAACUUCAGGAAACUGGGGCUAAUACCGGAUAGGAGCUCCUGCUGCAUGGUGGGGGUUGGAAAGUUUCGGCGGUUGGGGAUGGACUCGCGGCUUAUCAGCUUGUUGGUGGGGUAGUGGCUUACCAAGGCUUUGACGGGUAGCCGGCCUGAGAGGGUGACCGGCCACAUUGGGACUGAGAGACGGCCCAGACUGCUACGGGAGGCAGCAGUGGAGAAUAUUGCACAAUGGGCGGAAGCCUGGUGCAGCAACGCCGCGUGCGGGAUGACGGCCUUCGGGUUGUAAACCGCUUUCGCCUGUGACGAAGCGUGAGUGACGGUAAUGGGUAAAGAAGCACCGGCUAACUACGUG
rnacentral:rRNA from 1 species